UUAAUUUUGAAAUGUUAACUUGAAACUAAGCUGAUGUCAUUAAAGCUGACCACCACUGUGACACCACUAACAUGUUCAGGUCCUUGCUUCAGGUGUGUGGCUAGAACUCCUGAGCUUUCUGGGGAUUCUGCCUGUGGAGCGAGGGCUCGGACUUGUCGAUGGACUUGGUGAGGGUCUUUGACUUGAAACUGUGCCUUAGAGCAAAAGCAACAACAUCCAUCCCACUCCCCACAUGGAUAUCAACACAAGAAGCAAUUUUCACAAAUGGCUCCCUGAAGCACUGAAUAAGGGCUAUGGAAAGAUUGAAAAGUGAAGGUCUUAUUGUUUCCAAGAGAGGAGGGAAGCCACUGUCCUUAUAGAUUCUGGGAAAAUGCUCAGAAAACAACACAAACCCAAACAAAAAAGACUGCUAUAUCAUCAGUCAUUGCUCUCUCUACCGGGUUUUUCUAGAUCCUUUUGGAACUACUGGUAAACACCAGAUUAGCUGUGAGGCAGCUGCCCACUUGAGAUGUAUGGAGCAUUUCCUGGGGUCUGUUCCUUUUUUGUGUGAUAAUAAAUAUCUGCAUGAGUUUUGCCAGCUUCA